AGCCACAGGAAUAAACUGCAAAAUCCCUAAGAAUCCAAAAGGAUCUGCAGGAUUUCUCAAGCCUGCCUAGAUGUCGUAAGUGAAUCUUUGAACAUCGCUUGGACUCGUUCACAAGUCAGCUCAUUCUCUCAGCGCUACUGGACACCAUUCUCAGGCUGGCAAUUGCCACAGAGGGCAUCUGAGACAUUGUCUCAACUUCAUCUGCACCAGUGGGAGGCCUUUCCCAGGUGGGAGAACACUACUCCACUUUGGAAUUGCCAUUGUCAGUGUUCCUGGCUUUCCCAGAGAGCCACUGCAAGGCCCAGGAUGAAGGGAGGCAGUGAGAUUAAGGACACAAUCAUCUUUCACUGACAUCCAACUCUGGGACCUCAGAAAGCCUUUGUGAGGCCCAGGAUGAAGGGAGGCAAUGAGGUUAAGGGCCCAACUGCCAGAAUAUAUUCCAAUACCCACGGGACUUGAUUACUGCACACAGCCUCUUUCGUGAAUGGUGUCAAAAGGGCCAUUUCCUCAGGCCUGCCUAGACGUUGUACGGGUGAGUCUUUUUGAAUCUUGCCCCACUGUGAUUUCUAGGUACAGAUCAUCUGUGUUCCCCAGGGUUGCUCUCUCCUAGAUGGGGCUUUCUGC
rnacentral:lncRNA from 1 species